rnacentral:rRNA from 1 species
UACAGAGGUCUCAAGCGUUGUUCGGAUUCAUUGGGCGUAAAGGGUGCGUAGGCGGGUCUUUAAGUCAGGGGUGAAAUCCUGGAGCUCAACUCCAGAACUGCCUUUGAUACUGAAGAUCUUGAGUGCGGGAGAGGUGAGUGGAACUGCGAGUGUAGAGGUGAAAUUCGUAGAUAUUCGCAAGAACACCAGUGGCGAAGGCGGCUCACUGGCCCGAUACUGACGCUGAGGCACGAAAGCGUGGGGAGCAAACAGG